UACGUAGGGCGCAAGCGUUGUCCGGAAUUAUUGGGCGUAAAGAGCUCGUAGGCGGUUUGUCGCGUCUGCUGUGAAAACGCGAGGCUCAACCUCGCGCCUGCAGUGGGUACGGGCAGACUAGAGUGCGGUAGGGGAGACUGGAAUUCCUGGUGUAGCGGUGGAAUGCGCAGAUAUCAGGAGGAACACCGGUGGCGAAGGCGGGUCUCUGGGCCGUAACUGACGCUGAGGAGCGAAAGCAUGGGGAGCGAACAGGAUUAGAUACCCUGGUAGUCCAUGCCGUAAACGUUGGGCACUAGGUGUGGGGCUCAUUCCACGAGUUCCGUGCCGCAGCAAACGCAUUAAGUGCCCCGCCUGGGGAGUACGGCCGCAAGGCUAAA
rnacentral:rRNA from 1 species